rnacentral:rRNA from 1 species
CCUACGGGAGACAACAGUAGGGAAUAUUGCUCAAUGGGGGAAACCCUGAAGCAGCAACGCCGCGUGGAGGAUGAAGGUUUUAGGAUUGUAAACUCCUUUUGUUAGAGAAGAUUAUGACGGUAUCUAACGAAUAAGCACCGGCUAACUCCGUGCCAGCAGCCGCGGUAAUACGGAGGGUGCAAGCGUUACUCGGAAUCACUGGGCGUAAAGCGUGCGUAGGCGGGGUAAUAAGUCAGAUGUGAAAUGCUGUAGCUUAACUACAGAACUGCAUUUGAAACUGUUACUCUGGAGUGUGGGAGAGGUAGGUGGAAUUCUUGGUGUAGGGGUAAAAUCCGUAGAGAUCAAGAGGAAUACUCAUUGCGAAGGCGACCUGCUGGAACAUUACUGACGCUGAUGCACGAAAGCGUGGGGAGCAAACAGGAUUAGAUACCCCAGUAGUC